UGUCGUGUCAUGUCACUAGGUUGAAAGAUGAGCUGGAAUGGAAGUCAAUGAGGAGCAGAGCUGGCUCUUGUGAGCCUCUCCAUUCCGGCAGUCCUCUACUGUGGACGUGACUUAUUGUCGAAUCACACUGGAGCCAACGUACUCAGGUUUAACCAAGACAAGCUCCUCCAGCAUUGAGUUGAUGGUCUCUGGUUUACAAACCCAUCUCGCUGACUCGGCACUUGAGGCCUAACUGGAAAAUACUAACCAAGUCGGAACCGAAGGUGGUCCAACUCCACAAAGGUGCUGCACCCACUGCUCUGAGCCCAAAGUCUUAUCGCUGAGAGGGAUGAGUCCUUGGAACAAACAGGGAACAGCUAGGGUGGAGUCUAGGGGUGUAACUGAAUCGUGGGGCUCUCCUACUGGACUGGAAGCUGUGAAGAUGUGACCAGUCUUACAACAAACAGCCAAAGGAAUCAUGAAUGACUCAGUGUCUUCCUGCAGGCAGGAGUGACUUCCUGUCGGUGGCCCAUGUGAGCUGUGGUAAUCUUGAGGUGCUGUCGCCCCUGGAGGUGACACAGACCCAUGUGAGGGUGUCCAUCGCCGGCCUGUCCCUGUGGGGCCUUGUGAAGAGCCUGUGGGACUCCAGCAUCCUGGGACAGGUGCUGCUGUUCCUGCAGCCAGGGGAUGGCAUGGACCUGCUACCCAAGUUGAACGUGUUUGUGCUCCCUGGGAACGUACUUCUCAGCCAGGUCACCGAGCAGCAGGACUGCAGCAGCACCCUCAUUCAGACGAGCUCAACCUGUAAACUGACACCGAAAGCGACGUACAGAGUGUCCAGCAGCAGCAAGAAGACUAAGAUAAUCCAGCCUGAGUCCGAGUGCUU
rnacentral:lncRNA from 1 species